GAAGUCUAGUAAGUGUUACUGCUAAUAACACAGGGAGCACUGUGGUGCUCAGUCUUCU
rnacentral:tRNA from 1 species